CCUACGGGAGGCAGCAGUAGGGAAUCUUUCACAAUGGGCGAAAGCCUGAUGGAGCAACGCCGCGUGCAGGAUGAAGGCCUUCGGGUUGUAAACUGCUUUUAUAAGCGAGAAAUAUGAUGGUAACUUAUGAAUAAGGAUCGGCUAACUACGAGCCAGCAGCCGCGGUUACAUGUAGGAGCCGAGCAUUAUCCGGAGUGACUGGGUGUAAAGAGUUGCGUAGGUGGCAUAAUAAGUAGAUAGUGAAAUCUGGUGGCUCAACCAUUCAGACUAUUAGCUAAACUGUUAAGCUCGAGACCGUUAGGGGUAACUGGAAUUUCUAGUGUAGGAGUGAAAUGCGUAGAUAUUAGAAGGAACACCGAUAGCGUAGGCAGGUUACUGGGACGGUUCUGACACUAAGGCACGAAAGCGUAGGGAGCAAACGGGAUUAGAUACCCCAGUAGUC
rnacentral:rRNA from 1 species